ACUCACUGACACUCACUAGCAGACACACACACUAACACUCACACAUACUAACACUCACACACACUAACACUCACUAGCAGACACACAUACUAACACUCACACAUACUAACACUCACACACACUAACACUCACUAGCAGACACACACACUAACACUCACUAGCAGACACACAUACUAACACUCACACACACUAACACUCACUAGCAGACACACACACUAACACUCACACUAACACUUACUCUAACACACACUAACACUCACUAGCAGACACACACACUAACACACACUCUAACACUCACUCUAACACUCACACUAACACUCACACUCACACAUGGUUUUUUUUUUUUUUUAUGUAAUCCCCCCCAGCCUCCUUACCUUUUGGAGUGCUGGGGGGAUUCCCUGGGGUCCAGUGGUGCUGCUGGGCUCCUGGGCGGGCGGCCGGUCGGGCUGGCGGGUAGGCGGGCGCCCAAGGGAGCACUCAGUGCUUCCUCUUCAGCUCCCUCGCGCG